rnacentral:rRNA from 1 species
GACGAACGCUGGCGGCGUGCUUAACACAUGCAAGUCGAACGGAAAGGCCCUGCUUUUGUGGGGUGCGCGAGUGGCGAACGGGUGAGUAACACGUGAGUGACCUGCGCUUUAGUGUGGGGUAAAUUCAGGAAACUGGGGCGAAUGCCCGGUAUGAGCUCCUGCUGCAUGGGGGGGGUUGGAAAGUUUCGGCGGUUGGGGAUGGACGCGCGGCUUAUCGGUGUGUUGGUGGGGUAGUGGGGUACCAAGGCAUUGACGGGUCGCCGGCAUGAGAAGGUGACCGGGCACAUUGGGACUGAGAUAGGGACCAGACUCCUACGGGAGGCAGCAGUGGGGAAUAUUGCCCAGUGGGGCGAAGCCUGAUGCAGCAACGCCGGGUGCGGGAUGACGGCCUUCGGGUUGUAAACCGCUUUCGCCUGUGACGAAGCGUGAGUGACGGUAAUGGGUAAAGAAGCACCGGCUAACUACGUG